rfam:Cetobacterium somerae ATCC BAA-474 genomic scaffold Scaffold7, whole genome shotgun sequence.
UGUUGUUGCUAGGGGUGCCUUUGUGGCUGAGAGACUUUGAAAAAAGUUAACCCUUCGAACCUGAUUUGGUUAAAACCAACGUAGGGAAGCUAUUUUAUCAAGUU